UACGUAGGGUGCAAGCGUUAAUCGGAAUUACUGGGCGUAAAGGGUGCGCAGGCGGUUUUGUAAGUCUGGCGUGAAAGCCCCGGGCUCAACCUGGGAAUUGCGAUGGAGACUGCAAGGCUUGAAUCUGGCAGAGGGGGGUAGAAUUCCACGUGUAGCAGUGAAAUGCGUAGAGAUGUGGAGGAACACCGAUGGCGAAGGCAGCCCCCUGGGUCAAGAUUGACGCUCAUGCACGAAAGCGUGGGGAGCAAACAGG
rnacentral:rRNA from 1 species